UACAGAGGGGGCAAGCGUUGUUCGGAAUUACUGGGCGUAAAGGGCGCGUAGGCGGCCUACUAAGUCGAACGUGAAAUCCCCGGGCUUAACCCGGGAACUGCGUCCGAUACUGGUUGGGCUUGAAUCCGGGAGAGGGAUGUGGAAUUCCAGGUGUAGCGGUGAAAUGCGUAGAUAUCUGGAGGAACACCGGUGGCGAAGGCGGCAUCCUGGACCGGUAUUGACGCUGAGGCGCGAAAGCUAGGGUAGCAAACGGG
rnacentral:rRNA from 1 species